UACAGAGGGGGCAAGCGUUGUCCGGAAUCACUGGGCGUAAAGGGCGCGUAGGCGGCAUGCCAAGCGUGUGGUGAAAGCCCGGGGCUCAACCCCGGGUCGGCCGUGCGGACUGGCGUGCUCGAGCACUGUAGGGGCGGGUGGAAUUCCGGGUGUAGCGGUGGAAUGCGUAGAGAUCGGGAAGAACACCGAUGGCGAAGGCAGUCGGCUGGGCCGUUGCUGACACUGAGGCGCGACAGCGUGGGGAGCAAACAGG
rnacentral:rRNA from 1 species